rnacentral:rRNA from 1 species
CCUACGGGUGGCAGCAGUGGGGAAUAUUGCACAAUGGGGGAAACCCUGAUGCAGCGACGCCGCGUGAGUGAAGAAGGAUUUCGGUAUGUAAAGCUCUAUCAGCAGGGACGAGGCAAUUUGGUACAUUACUAAGAGGCCCCGGCUAACUCCGUGCCAGCAGCCGCGGUAAUCCGUAGGGUGCAAGCGUUAACCGGAAUCACUGGGCGUAAAGGGAGCGGAGACGGUGGUUUAAGCCGGAAGUGAAAGGCCGGGGCUCAACCUGGGGACUGCAUUGGGGACUGGACGGCUGGAGUGCAGGAGAGGGAAGUAGAAUUCCAAGUGUAGCGGUGAAAUGCGUAGAUAUGAGGAGGAAUAUCAGAGGCGAAGGCGGC